ACAGGGUCUCUAUAGGAGCACGUGGAGAAGUCUCUUUUUAGAUUUAGAGGGGGGUGUGUGGGGGCCCUUUGGGGCGCAUGCGCGUGUGCGCGCUGUAAAUCUACACACGUGAGAUCUCACUGGACGCUUUGGGGUUUGUGUCUCAUAUAUAUAUACUCAGAUCAUAGAAUGUACAUUUUGCCUUUAAAAAAGCAAUCAAAUACAACUUUCAACAACGGAUCUCUUGGCUCUCGCAUCGAUGAAGAACGCAGCGAAAUGCGAUAAGUAAUGUGAAUUGCAGAUUUUCAGUGAAUCAUCGAAUCUUUGAACGCACCUUGCGCUCCUUGGUAUUCCGAGGAGCAUGCCUGUUUGAGUGUCAUUAAAUCCUCAACCCCGUCCGUCGGUCGGGGCUUGGACUUUGGAGCGUGCUGGCGAAGGUCGGCUCCUCUUUAAAUGCAUCAGCGGAGAAAAACAAACCUUUUUUCCCCCUUCAGCGUGAUAACCGCGUUGCGCUGUGGUCGCGAAAGGGUCCGCUCAUAAUCGUCCUCGGACAAACACCGAAU
rnacentral:sRNA from 1 species